GUCUGCCCUGGUGCUGCUAGCAGGAGAGGAAGUGCUGCCAUUUCAAGGAAAUUCGUCGCUUUUAAAAACUGCAGAUAUGCUUGCCUGCUUUCUAGGUUUUAGAGGAAACCACACACACACAAAUAUUCCCUCCUCAUAUGUUUCCUGGAAAUAAAGAGAAGAGGAAAUUAUUGGAUCAGUCUCCAGCACCUUUUCUGACCCGUACUCUGAUUGGACUUAAGAAGUGCUCUGGCCAGCACCCUAGUAUGAACUUGGUGAUUAAACCUAAACUAGCACCUUACAGUCUCUCCAAUACACUCCUUGUUGCCACACAAACUUCGUUCUCUCGAGAAAAUUAACUCAUCUCAAGAAUCGUCUUUGAUUUAAACAAUUUUUAAUAUGUUUUCUCAGUUACAUAUGUGCAGAAAAGCACAAAUUGAGACUGGAAGACAAAACUUGUUUAUUUUGUUCAGAUAUUUUUGAGCAUACCUCAAGAAGUCAUAUGUUCACACCACCUCACACCCGUUUUUCAGAACAAUUCACUGAUAUCAAAAGGACAGGCUAAUGUCAGACAACUGGUUCAAGCCAGAAAAAAUAUAACACUCCCAUCACACACUAACAGCUGGACCAUUUCUCAUCCAUGUGUAAACUAAUAGACUUCAAACAAACAUGUUACUGGUGUCUGUAAGAAAAUCAACCAGGCAGCUGCAGUUCAUCUGAAAUGCUGCUACCAGAGUUCUAAAAAACACACUGUUACAGUGUCAUCAGAGAGAAACUCCUGAACUUCAGACAGUCAUUUCUAGGCAUUUUUCUCCAUUUUUCAUUGACCCCAACUUCCCUGACAACAGACCUUGAGCCAGGCGAGAAUUGUCCUUCAUGAUAUGAGCUUUUUGGAGACAGCGGGAACUGUAAAGUUCUUCAAGUGUGGAUAGAGGGCAGCCAAUGAUCUUUUGGGCCACAUUAAUGGCCCUCUGAACCACUUUCAGCUGAUGUACCACACACAGAUGCAGUAGGUCUUUAUGCUCUCAAUAGAGCACAGAUAAAAGGACACCAGCAGUCUACGUGUUAUGUUAUUUUCCCCACGCACCCUCAGGAACUAUAGCCUCUACUGGCCUUUUUCAGCAGCUCAGAGGUAUUUGUGCUCCAGGUCAGGACCUCUUUGAUGUGGACUCGCAGGACGCGGAAGUCACCCAACUUCUCCACACAGUUUCCGCUAUGAAUGUCCAUCCAUUUUCGGAUAAUGGACUUAACAGUGCUCUGUAAAAUCUUCAAAGAUUAGAAGGGUUAUAAUCUAACCCUGUUGUAAGCUUCUCCACAAAUUUUUCCCUGGUGUCCUAAUGUGUUGCUAUGUCCUCCAGAUCCAGACAUUUACAGUUUGACUCGCACUGAGAUUAAAAUACAUGCAUAUGGACUGUUUACUAAUUUCUGAAGGCAAGUGAAUGCACUUGAUUUUCUUUAGGGGUAUCAAAUUAAAAGGGAAUGAACAUGUGUGAAGUUACUUUUUUAGGUUUUUUUUUUUAUGAAAUUUGAAAACCAUGUAUUCUUUUAGUACUUUGUGUUGGUCUAUCACAUAAAAUCCUAACAAAAUACUUGAAAGUUUGUUGCUCAAAUGAACAAAAUUUUAAAAGGUUCAGGGAGUAAUUGUCACAGUGUGUCUCUUGGUUCUGUAUUGGUUUACGUUUUAGUUAGGUGGUUGCUGUCCAGUAUGAUUAGUCUUUGAGUUCCAGUUCUGGUGUCUUAUUUUUUAGGUUAAGUUCAGUUUAUUGGAUGUGGUUUUGAUUCUGUAAUUAGUUACGUUUAGUCAGGUGUUUUUUCUGUUAUUGUUUGGUUAGUCCUUAAGUCCUCGUUUCUGGGUUCUGUUUCCUAGGUUCUCUUCUGUUGACUGUGUUUGUAUUAUUAUUAUUAUUUAUAGAUCUGUUCCCCCCGUGUUCUGGUCCCUGGGUGUGUUUACAGUUUUGUUCUUCGUCUAGCUCCUCCAUGUCCUCAUUUGUCCCUAUCUGGUUCACCUGCUCUCUCUGCUUCCCUGACUCCUUGUCUCACCUGUUCCCUGUUCCUCUGAUUACCUGCCCUAUUGUUUCAUGUCCACCUUUGUCUGUAUUUAAGUUUGCCUUCGUCCUUUGUUACACGCGGUGUCGUUAUGUCUCUUUGGAUUUUGUUCUUGCUCCGGAUCCUGUUAAGUUCUAGUUUGAAAUUGCCUUGUAAUCAGGAUUAUCCUGUCAUCCAGCACCUCGCCUGCAUUGGGGGUCCAGCAAGAGGAAGCAGGACGGGAAGUGAAGGGCCUUAUGUCAGGCCAGCCAGUGUCUCACCUCAAUAAGAACAAAAGGCACUUUGAAACAUUUUCCAUCACAGGUGCAAUUGGUGCAAGUAUGCAAUAAAGUUCCUAAUUAACUUUGACCAAGCUUGACAAAUUUUAGAAUGUUUAACAAUUUUAUUGUUUUUUUUUAAAGAAACCUUGUCAAUAUGUUUGAUUGCUAUUAAGCGUGGACAUUGAGUCGACAUGUGUGAAUUAUGCCAUGAUGUCUGUGUUUGACUGCUGCUGUGCAACAAAAUUCCCCUUGUGGAACAAUAAAGAACUGAACAGAA